rnacentral:piRNA from 1 species
UCUCGGAUUGAUUAUCAGAUU